rnacentral:snRNA from 1 species
GUACUCACUUCGGCAGCACAUAUACUAAAA